UCUGACCCCCCACCCCCAGCCAGGAUCUUCAGGGGCUGUUCCCCCCCCAAAAGGGAAUGAGGAAAGGGAAUUAGGAGUGCAGGCUGAGCCCCAGCCAAUCCCCAGCUGUGUCCCUCCAGCCCAGCAUUGUCACCAUCAGCUCCAGCCAGGCAGGCACUCCUCUUCAGCAGCAGGGUGGUGGGUCACGCUGGGGUAUUUUUACAGAUACUUGAUUUUCUAGGUUUUUGUAUAGCCCGGUCGCUAUAAAUCCAGCCUUUCCCUCUCCCUGCACCCAGGGUGCGCGGCGGGGUGUGUGUGUGUAUUAUAGUUCCCCUUAGCGGCAGGGUGUAUUUCAAUCCCCCUAUUUCCUUCUCUUUUACUACAGAGAUUUUAUUUCUGUGCUUCUUUGUAAAAGUGAGGGAACGGGACGCCCCGGCGCCUUCCUCCCUGAAAUCACAUAAAUGUUAACGAGGAACUAA